ACCACCUCAGUUGGUAGAGCAUGAGACUUUUAAUCUCAGGGUUGUGGGUUCAAGCCCCAUGCCAGGCA